AACGUAGGGGGCGAGCGUUGUCCGGAAUCACUGGGCGUAAAGGGUGCGUAGGCGGUCGAGCAAGUCUGGAGUGAAAGUCCAUGGCUCAACCAUGGGAUGGCUCUGGAAACUGCUUGACUUGAGUGCUGGAGAGGCAAGGGGAAUUCCACGUGUAGCGGUGAAAUGCGUAGAGAUGUGGAGGAAUACCUGUGGCGAAGGCGCCUUGCUGGACAGUGACUGACGCUGAGGCACGAAAGCGUGGGGAGCAAACAGG
rnacentral:rRNA from 1 species